AACGAACGCUGGCGGCAUGCCUAACACAUGCAAGUCGAACGAGACCUUCGGGUCUAGUGGCGCACGGGUGCGUAACGCGUGGGAACCUGCCCUUAGGUUCGGAAUAACUCCCCGAAAGGGGUGCUAAUACCGGAUAAUGUCUUCGGACCAAAGAUUUAUCGCCUUUGGAUGGGGCCGCGUUGGAUUAGCUAGUUGGUAGGGUAAAAGCCUACCAAGGCGACGAUCCAUAGCUGGUCUGAGAGGAUGAUCAGCCGCACUGGGACUGAGACACGGCCCAGACUGCUACGGGAGGCAGCAGUAGGGAAUAUUGGACAAUGGGCGAAAGCCUGAUCCAGCAAUGCCGCGUAAGUGAUGAAGGCCUUAGGGUUGUAAAGCUCUUUUACCCGGGAUGAUAAUGACAGUACCGGGAGAAUAAGCUCCGGCUAACUCCGUG
rnacentral:rRNA from 1 species